GACAGAGGAUGCAAGCGUUAUCCGGAAUGAUUGGGCGUAAAGCGUCUGUAGGUGGCUUUUCAAGUCCGCCGUCAAAUCCCAGGGCUCAACCCUGGACAGGCGGUGGAAAGUACCAAGCUGGAGUACGGUAGGGGCAGAGGGAAUUUCCGGUGGAGCGGUAAAAUGCGUAGAGAUCGGAAAGAACACCAACAGCGAAAGCACUCUGCUGGGCCGACACUGACACUGAGAGACGAAAGCUAGGGGAGUGAAUAGG
rnacentral:rRNA from 1 species